UACGUAGGGUGCAAGCGUUGUCCGGAAUUAUUGGGCGUAAAGAGCUCGUAGGCGGUUUGUUGCGUCGGCUGUGAAAUCCCGAGGCUCAACCUCGGGUCUGCAGUCGAUACGAGCAAACUAGAGUGUUGCAGGGGAGACUGGAAUUCCUGGUGUAGCGGUGAAAUGCGCAGAUAUCAGGAGGAACACCGGUGGCGAAGGCGGGUCUCUGGGCAACAACAUGACGCUGGAGGAGCGAAAGCGUGGGGAGCGAACAGG
rnacentral:rRNA from 1 species